CCAAAUAUUUAUUGAGCCAGGAACUGAUCUAGAUGCUGGGGAAGAGCAGUGAGCCCAACAAAGGACUUGUCUUCAUGGAGCCUUCAUUCUUAUCUCCUUUAUGCCAGCUGCGCCCCUUGAACCCACCAAAAGAAAGAAACCCAAGAAAGAAACCUGCAGAGCUGUAGAAUUUACAGCAUCUUCAAUGAGUCAACCCAUCCUUGUUCCCUGGACAUUAUUGAUCGAAGAAGACAAACUUGAUGUGAGGGAGGCCAAGUACCUUGAGAAGACAUGGCAACAUCUCUGCCCAACAGAGGCACACAGAGAGGAGGAGACGGUGAAGGCUAGUCCAUUCAGUGUCACUAAAAUAGUCUCAGAGCCAUUUGCUGUUACCUCUCCUAUCAUCGGCAACUCUUACGAACAAGUCACAGAGAAUGUGCAAGCAAAGCGUGCCAGAGAUGGAAAAUUAAAAAUGGAAUGCUAUCAGUGA
rnacentral:lncRNA from 1 species